CUAGAGUGGAAGAGCUGCAGCUAGACCCUUCUAGGAGCGUGUGUGAGAUGGAGGGUACUCAUGUACAGAAUGGCUGUUGACUCCCUAUAACAACCCACAGACCAGAAGUCAAGUACGUUUCAAUGAAGCUCACCGAUCUACCAGGGGGAUUAUUGAGAGGACUUUCGGUCUUUUGAAAAUGCGGUUUCGAUGUCUUGAUCGUUCUGGUGGUGCUAUGCAGUAUGCACCAGAGAAAGUUGCCAAAAUUAUAUUGGUUUGCUGCAUACUGCACAAUAUUGCAAUUAAAAGAGGCUGUCCAUUAGAAGAUGAAGAUCCAAUAGAUACUGAUGAUUUACCAGAAGAAAUAUGUGUCGAACAAGCUAAUAGGCGUGGAAAUGCAACAAGGGACAUGGUUUCAGAACAAUAUUAUGUGUUUGAGGAUUAAAGUUUCAGUUGAUCAAUAAAAAACUUUCUUUAUUAA